CGACAGUGAACAUCCCGACAGCGAGUCUAUAAAUGAUGAGGACUGGUCAACAUCACGGAAUACAGCACCGGAACCUUGCAGGAACUUCGGAAAGAUUGACUUCAGAGAAGGAAAGACUUCAAGGUAUGUUCGUAUCGAUGUUCAGACUGACAUGUCCGUCGUUGAGCACCUAUUGCUGGAGGUAUGGAGACUGCCUCAACCAAAAUGGAUAUUCUCCGUCAUAGGAGACGAAUAUGGACAGGCUGACAAGAAGGCGAAUGAAGUUAGGUGCCAGCUGAAGGGACUGGUGAAGGCAUUAUCAAAUGGCCAAAAUAUCUGGAUUACAACCGAAGGCAUACAUUUUGGGACUGCAAAAAUGGUGGGAGAAUACAUCAAGGAUAUGUCUUCCAAAUACAUAACUCCUGUAGGAGUAUCUG